rnacentral:rRNA from 1 species
GACGAACGCUGGCGGCGUGCUUAACACAUGCAAGUCGAACGGAAAGGCCCUGCUUUUGUGGGGUUCUCGAUUGGCGAACGGGUGAGGAACACGUGAGUAACCUGCCCUUGACUUUGGGAUAACUUCAGGAAACUGGGGCUAAUACCGGAUAGGAUCUCCUGCUGCAUGGUGGGGGUUGGAAAGUUUCGGCGGUUGGGGAUGGACUCGCGGCUUAUCAGCUUGUUGGUGGGGUAGUGGCUUACCAAGGCUUUGACGGGUAGCCGGCCUGAGAGGGUGACCGGGCACAAUGGGACUGAGAUACGGACCAGUCUCCAACGGGAGGCAGUAGUGGGGAAUAUUGCACAACGGGCGGGAGUCUGAUGCAGAAACCCCGCGUGCGGAAUGACGGCCUUCGGGUUAUAAACAGCUUUCGCCUGUGACGCAGCGUGAGUGACGGUAAUGGGUAAAGAAGCACCGGCUAACUACGUG